rnacentral:rRNA from 1 species
UACGUAGGGGGCUAGCGUUGUCCGGAAUCAUUGGGCGUAAAGAGCGUGUAGGCGGCCCGGUAAGUCCGCUGUGAAAGUCGGGGGCUCAACCCUCGAAAGCCGGUGGAUACUGUCGGGCUAGAGUGCGGAAGAGGCGAGUGGAAUUCCAGGUGUAGCGGUGAAAUGCGUAGAUAUCUGGAGGAACACCGGUGGCGAAGGCGGCAUCCUGGACCGGCAUUGACGCUGAGGCGCGAAAGCCAGGGGAGCAAACGGG